rnacentral:rRNA from 1 species
AACGCUGGCGGCGCGCUUAACACAUGCAAGUCGAGCGAGAACCGGGGCUUCGGCCCCGGGGACAGCGGCGAACGGGUGAGUAACACGUGGGUAAUCUGCCCUCGGUUCUGGGAUAGCCCGGGGAAACCCGGAUUAAUACCGGAUAGCCUCUCUGGCCUUUGGGCCGGCGAGAAAAGGUAGGUUCGGCCUCCGACCGAGGAUGAGCCCGCGGCGGAUUAGCUUGUUGGUGGGGUAACGGCUCACCAAGGCGACGAUCCGUAGCUGGUCUGAGAGGACGAUCAGCCACACUGGGACUGAGACACGGCCCAGACUCCUACGGGAGGCAGCAGUGGGGAAUCUUGCGCAAUGGGCGAAAGCCUGACGCAGCGACGCCGCGUGAGGGAAGAAGGCCUUCGGGUUGUAAACCUCUUUCAGGUGGGACGAAGCCACUCGGGUGAAUAGCCCAGAGGGUGACGGUACCUCCAGAAGAAGCCCCGGCUAACUCUGUGCCAGCCGCCGCGGUAA